rnacentral:lncRNA from 1 species
UCAGUUUUAAUAAAGUAAAAAAUUGGAACUGUAGAGUGAAUACAAAGUUUAAAGAACUUGAUCUUAAUCAGUAUUGUAAUAUUGAAUGUAUUUUGAGCAAGUCUGUUAUUAAAGAUAUUGAAAACAAUCUAUUUAUUAUGUACCAAAAUAAUUGGCAUUUAAAUUUACUAGCUAAUGAAAGCAGUAAAUUGCGUACUUACAGGUUAUUUAAAUCAAAUUAUUGUACAGAAAAAUAUUUGAGUAUUACUAUGCCCGGUAAAUUUAGAAGUGCAUAUGCUAAAUUUAGAGCAGGUGUUGCUCCGAUUAAAAUUGAAACUGGCAGAUAUGAAGGUAUAGAUGUAAAUGAAAGGUUCUGUUUUAAUUGUAGAAAAAAUGAUUUGAAUAUAAUUGAAGAUGAAAAACAUGUUUUAUUAGAAUGCCCAGAAUAUGCAGAUCUGCGAACGAUAUUUUUUAACAGUGUAUGUAAUAUAGAAAGUAG